rnacentral:rRNA from 1 species
CAGUCGCCACGGUAAUACGUAGGUGGCAAGCGUUGUCCGGAAUUAUUGGGCGUAAAGGGCUCGCAGGCGGUUUCUUAAGUCUGAUGUGAAAGCCCCCGGCUCAACCGGGGAGGGUCAUUGGAAACUGGGAAACUUGAGUGCAGAAGAGGAGAGUGGAAUUCCACGUGUAGCGGUGAAAUGCGUAGAGAUGUGAGGAACACCAGUGGCGAAGGCGACUCUCUGGUCUGUAACUGACGCUGAGGAGCGAAAGCGUGGGGAGCGAACAGGAUUAGAUACCCCAGUAGUCCCUGUCUCUUAUACA